CUACAAGUGUUUAAUCAGGAAGCUCUACGAAGACUACUCCGCAACAUCAGCAACCUCCAGCUCUUGCUUCAAGGGAAACCUCUUCAACAACGUCUGCUCUCAUCCAAGUGGAUGAUCAUCGCCAAAGAAACAUACCCAAACAGCACAUAACAAAACAAUGCAAGGGUUGGAGCAAACAAGUUCAGAAGGUCCUGAAGCUGUGUUCCCAUUCUCUCAG
rnacentral:sRNA from 1 species